rnacentral:rRNA from 1 species
CAAUAGCGUAUAUUAAAGUUGUUGCAGUUAAAAAGCUCGUAGUUGGAUUCCUGGUAGGAGUGACCGUUCCGAACUUGAUUGUUCGUGUAUUGUGUUUUCUCCAGCCAUCCUUGUGGAGAACUUUUCUUGCAUUAAUUUGUAGGGAUUGGGACCCGCAUCGUUUACUGUGAAAAAAUUAGAGUGUUUAAAGCAGGCAAUCGCUUGAAUACAUUAGCAUGGAAUAAUAAGAUAGGACUUUGGUACUAUUUUGUUGGUUUGCAUACCAAAUUAAUGAUCAACAGGAACAGUUUGAGGAUAUUCGUAUGAACAUGUCAGAGGUGAAAUUCUUGGAUUUUGAUCAGACGAACUACUGCGAAAGCAUUUAUCAAGGAUGUUUUCAUUAA